rnacentral:tRNA from 1 species
GGGGUCGUAGCUUAGCUGAUUUAAAGCGCCACUCUGUCACAGUGGAGAUCGCGGGUUUGAAUCCCGUCGACCCCGCCA